GCCCCACCCACCUAGAGGAGCCUGUUCUAUAAUCGAUAACCCCCGCUUAACCUCACCACUUCUUGCCAAUACCGCCUAUAUACCACCGUCGCCAGCCCACCCCGUGAGGGAAAUAGUAGGCACAAUGAUAAGUCACCAAAACGUCAGGUCAAGGUGUAGCGUAUGAAGUGGAAAGAAAUGGGCUACAUUCUCUAACCUAGAGCACACGAAAAAUCAUAUGAAAUUAGAUUAGAAGGAGGAUUUAGUAGUAAAAAGAAACAAUAGUGUUCUUUUUAAGUUGGCCCUGGGGCGCGCACACACCGCCCGUCACCCUCUUCAACUAAUAAAACACGAUUUAUAAAACACAAAACAAUUACAAGAAGAGGUAAGUCGUAACAUGGUAAGUAUACCGGAAGGUGUGCUUGGAAUUAC
rnacentral:rRNA from 1 species